GAUUGGACGUGCUUGCACGGACUUGACGUUGGUUUACCAGCGAGUGGCGGACGGGUGAGUAACACGUAGGUAACCUGCCCCAAAGCGGGGGAUAACAUUUGGAAACAGAUGCUAAUACCGCAUAACAAUUUGAGUCGCAUGAUCCAAAUUUAAAAGAUGGUUUCGGCUAUCACUUUGGGAUGGACCUGCGGCGCAUUAGCUUGUUGGUAGGGUAACGGCCUACCAAGGCUGUGAUGCGUAGCCGAGUUGAGAGACUGAUCGGCCACAAUGGAACUGAGACACGGUCCAUACUCCUACGGGAGGCAGCAGUAGGGAAUCUUCCACAAUGGGCGCAAGCCUGAUGGAGCAACACCGCGUGAGUGAAGAAGGGUUUCGGCUCGUAAAGCUCUGUUGUUAGAGAAGAACGUGCGUGAGAGCAACUGUUCACGCAGUGACGGUAUCUAACCAGAAAGUCACGGCUAACUACAUGCCAGCAGCCGCGGUAAUACGUAGGUGGCAAGCGUUAUCCGGAUUUAUUGGGCGUAAAGCGAGCGCAGGCGGUUUGAUAAGUCUGAUGUGAAAGCCUUUGGCUUAACCAAAGAAGUGCAUCGGAAACUGUCAGACUUGAGUGCAGAAGAGGACAGUGGAACUCCAUGUGUAGCGGUGGAAUGCGUAGAUAUAUGGAAGAACACCAGUGGCGAAGGCGGCUGUCUGGUCUGCAACUGACGCU
rnacentral:rRNA from 1 species